rnacentral:rRNA from 1 species
AAAUUGAAGAGUUUGAUCAUGGCUCAGAUUGAACGCUGGCGGCAGGCCUAACACAUGCAAGUCGAACGGUAACAGGAAGCAGCUUGCUGCUUCGCUGACAAGUGGCGGACGGGUGAGUAAUGUCUGGGAAACUGCCUGAUGGAGGGGGAUAACUACUG